UACGGGGGGGGCAAGCGUUGUCCGGAUUUAUUGGGCGUAAAGAGCUCGUAGGCGGCUCAGUAAGUCGGGUGUGAAACCUCCAGGCUCAACCUGGAGACGCCACCUGAUACUGCUGUGGCUAGAGUCCGGUAGGGGAGCGUGGAAUUCCUGGUGUAGCGGUGAAAUGCGCAGAUAUCAGGAGGAACACCAGCGGCGAAGGCGGCUCACUGGCCCGUUACCGACGCUCAGGCGCGACAGCGUGGGGAGCAAACAGG
rnacentral:rRNA from 1 species